ensembl:lncRNA
GGGUCCCAAAUAAAGCAUUUGGCCAGAGUUUUGAGUCGCAAAGAGGCCCCUCCCCCUACAGCAAGGGGGGGGCGACGGAACAGGGCUCUGUGGAAAAGGGCAGUCGCCCCAGGGAGUGUCCUGGAUGCUCCCCUACCAAGGUGGACAGGCCUCUCCAUCGCCUCCCUCCUCUUCCUCCUUCAAGAUGCACAUGUCCUGAGCCCCAUAAAUGACAUUUCCUCUUGAGACAGGGUAUGGGGAGGGUGAUCUCCCCAUGCGGCCAUUUAGUUAUACAUGAUGCCACUCUCCCAUGCAGGAAAAUGCAGCAGGGGUGGGUGGGCGGGCGGGCAGGGGGAAGCCCUUGUGUCUGUUUGUGUGGAAUUUCAGUGUGAUCCAUAAUUUUUAAAUUCAGCUCCCAUCGACUUUUCUAGCUUCUCCUCCAGCUAUCGAAUAGACAUCUUUUUUACAUAAAACUUUUGAAGUUCCUAGAUCCUCCCCUUAAUUGUCUCCCUUGAUUAAGGUCAUCUCCCCUUGUUCUAUCUAACGGGUUUUCUGGCUUCCCUUCUGGAUGAGCUGGUGGCCAGAAAUAAGGAAAUAAAUUCCUCUGAAGGGAGGUGUCCUUAAUCCAUUAAGGUGAUUAAGGGAAAGGGAUAGGCUUGUAGACCAAGAAAAUGAAGACUGUAAACAAUAUAGGGACUUAAAAGAAGUUGGAAUAAAAAUAAAUAAUAAUAAAAGCAGCCGGGAGUUGUGCCCGAUUUAUGGCGGCAGAUUGCUCUGCCGAUCCGGGGGUCGUCUUUAAAUGUAUUUUUAAAUAACCGGGGCUCGGCUCUACCCCACUGAACGCCGCGGCUUCAGCCGCAAGGGGCGCGAUCCUGUGGCCUCGGCGCUGCUCCUCUUGCACCGCGCGGUGUCGCUGUUGUUUGCGCAAAGGCGCAAGCGCCGCGGGCGCCCAUUCUCAGGGCGAGGGGGGGAGAGCGGGGAGGGGAGGGGGUUCAAGCCCCCCCCGGGUUGCCAGCUGGGCGGAGAGGGAGGGAGGGCGUCGGAGGGCCGCGCUCCGACUCCAGGGGCCGGGGCUGCGGGCGCGCCGGGCCGGCGAGAGGCGUCUUUCUGCUCGCCCGUCCGUCCGUCCGCCUGCUCGAAGGGCCCCCCCUUGCCCCCGGACUACCCUUGAAGGAGGCCGAGCGCCCCGUGAGACGUCAAGCCGGAUCCUGGCUGAGCCCGGGCUUCUGUGCCUCGCCAAGGGCCCCUCUCUCGCUUCGGCUGCGCCUUCGCCUCCUUCGGCCCCCUUGCGCUGGAGUUAGACGGCUGGGGACAAGCAAACACGCAGCCGUGCAUGAAGCGGUGAUGAUGAUGAUGAAGAAGAUGAAGAACGUGAUAAGGUUCCUUUGUUGCUGUUUUUUGCCUCUCUUUUUCCUCGCCCCACCUUUCAAGACGCAUAGAGCAUGGAUUCUUUCUCUGUGCCAGAAGCCUAGGGUUUCUCCUGAUUGUAACUGAAGAGGAUAACUGCUGUUACUGAACCAAAGUGGAACCGGGAGGAGGACCGGAUGGCAGGAGGCUGAUUGGCUGGCUUGAGCGCCUGCUCUCUGAGCGGGCCAGCGUUUCACAUUUCUCCGUGCUGGCAGGGAAAGGCAUCAGCCGCCGCGCUGCUCUGGAAGGGAUCUGCUGGACUCAUGGACCGACCCUCCGGGAUUUUUCUUCUGGAGCCAAGCGGACCUGACAGUAGCUUCGAGGCUCAUCGUUCGUCCUCUUUUCUUUUCACUUCAAUGGGGAGGAUAUGGGCUUGGCAAGCACCUGUCUUUCACUCCGGCCUCCCUUGCAGGGAGGUUGUGAGAAUAAAAUGGCACCGUGGUGCGGAUUAUUUAUGUGG